rnacentral:rRNA from 1 species
GACGAACGCUGGCGGCGUGCCUAACACAUGCAAGUCGAACGGAACUGUUUUGAAAGAUUUCUUCGGAAUGAAUUUGAUUUAGUUUAGUGGCGGACGGGUGAGUAACGCGUGAGUAACCUGCCUUCAAGAGGGGAAUAACAUUCUGAAAAGAAUGCUAAUACCGCAUGACAUAUCGGUACCACAUGGUUUUGAUAUCAAAGAUUUUAUCGCUUGAAGAUGGACUCGCGUCCGAUUAGUUAGUUGGUGAGGUAACGGCUCACCAAGACCGCGAUCGGUAGCCGGACUGAGAGGUUGAACGGCCACAUUGGGACUGAGACACGGCCCAGACUCCUACGGGAGGCAGCAGUGGGGGAUAUUGCGCAAUGGGCAACCCUGACGCAGCAACGCCGCGUGAAGGAUGAAGGUUUUCGGAUUGUAAACUUCUUUUAUUAAGGACGAAAAAUGACGGUACUUAAUGAAUAAGCUCCGGCUAACUACGUG